UACGGGGGGGGCAAGCGUUGUUCGGAAUUACUGGGCGUAAAGGGCUCGUAGGCGGCCAACUAAGUCGGAUGUGAAAUCCCCAGGCUUAACCUGGGAACUGCAUCCGAUACUGGAUGGCUUGAAUCCGGGAGAGGGAUGCGGAAUUCCAGGUGUAGCGGUGAAAUGCGUAGAGAUCGGGAGGAACACCCGUGGCGAAGGCGGCCAACUGGGAUACACCUGACGCUGAGGCACGAAGGCGUGGGGAGCGAACGGG
rnacentral:rRNA from 1 species